UUCUUAUUUUUCACGUGAAUUCUAACACAUUCAUUGAAUUAAUUUCUUACACAUGAUGCACGAUUCAUUUACGUUCACGUGAUUUAUUUUACAAAUGAUUCACAAUUCAUUAACUACACAUUAAUUCAUUAUUAAUUUAUAUUUCACAUGCUUUAUUUUACAAAUGAUUCAUGAUUUAUUUUAAUUUUUAUGGCUUUUUUUUUUUUUUUUUUUUUUACAUGUGAUUCAUUGUGCAGGUGAUUUUCCCACUAAAUUGUUUUCAGAAUUUUUAUACGAUUCCCUUUAUUUUCCUUGAUCCUUUUUUUUUUUUUUUUUUUUU